GCUGUACAAGAAUGUAAUAACUCUUGUAUAUAUCUCAAAAAAAAAAAAAAAAUUAGCAUGGCCCCUGCGCAAGGAUGACACAAAAUCGUGAAGCGUUCCACAUUUUU